AUACAGAGGGUGCAAGCGUUAAUCGGAAUUACUGGGCGUAAAGGGUGUGUAGGUGGUUCAAGUAAGUUAGGUGUGAAAUCCCUGGGCUUAACCUGGGAAUGUCGCUUAAAACUGCUUAGCUAGAGUACUAUAGAGGACAGUGGAAUUUCCAGUGUAGCGGUGAAAUGCGUAGAUAUUGGAAGGAACACCAGUGGCGAAGGCGACUGUCUGGAUAGAUACUGACACUGAAACACGAAAGCGUGGGUAGCGAACAGGAUUAGAAACCCCAGUAGUCC
rnacentral:rRNA from 1 species